rnacentral:tRNA from 1 species
GGAAGAUCGUCAUCUCCGGUGAGGUGGCUGGACUUCAAAUCCAGUUGGGGCCGCCUGUGAUCUUCCGCCA